CUAACGUUUACGGUACCAAGUUCAGAGAAGUGACAGACAAGAGGACCUGAAGACACAGAAUGGAGCAAGACAAAGAGGCUGGAGACAGGUGCUCUGGUACCUUGACACAUCUGGAGGACGGGGGCUGUAUGUUGACAAAACGCGACCAAUGAAAACCAAUAAUGUGUGAGGAAGGGUGUGGUAUUGAAGACAGAAUCCUGCAUUGUUCACAUCUGUCACAGUGUGCUUCCAAGAUCCCCUUGGCUCCUGUCUUUAGCCUUGUUCAAUACCC